GACGAACGCUGGCGGCGUGCUUAACACAUGCAAGUCGAACGGAAAGGCCCUGCUUUUGUGGGGUGCUCGAGUGGCGAACGGGUGGGUAACACGUGAGUAACCUGCCCUUGACUUUGGGAUAACUUCAGGAAACUGGGGCUAAUACCGGAUAGGAGCUCCUGCUGCAUGGUGGGGGUUGGAAAGUUUCGGCGGUUGGGGAUGGACUCGCGGCUUAUCAGCUUGUUGGUGGGGUAGUGGCUUACCAAGGCUUUGACGGGUAGCCGGCCUGAGAGGGUGACCGGCCACAUUGGGACAGAGAUACGGCCCAGACUCCUACGGGAGGCAGCAGUGGGGAAUAUUGCACAAUGGGCGGAAGCCUGAUGCAGCAACGCCGCGUGCGGGAUGACGGCCUUCGGGUUGUAAACCGCUUUCGCCUGUGACGAAGCGUGAGUGACGGUAAUGGGUAAAGAAGCACCGGCUAACUACGUG
rnacentral:rRNA from 1 species